rnacentral:rRNA from 1 species
GCAGUAGCCGCGGUAAUACGUAUGUCACAAGCGUUAUCCGGAUUUAUUGGGCGUAAAGCGCGUCUAGGUGGUUAUGUAAGUCUGAUGUGAAAAUGCAGGGCUCAACUCUGUAUUGCGUUGGAAACUGUGUAACUAGAGUACUGGAGAGGUAAGCGGAACUACAAGUGUAGAGGUGAAAUUCGUAGAUAUUUGUAGGAAUGCCGAUGGGGAAGCCAGCUUACUGGACAGAUACUGACGCUGAAGCGCGAAAGCGUGGGUAGCAAACAGGAUUAGAUACCCGCGUAGUCCCUGUCUCUUAUAAA